ensembl:rRNA 5S_rRNA 5S ribosomal RNA
GACUAUGGCCAUACCACCCUUAACAUACCUGAUCCGGUCUGAUCUUGGAAGCUAAGCAGGGUCAGGCCUGGUUAGUACUUGGAUGGGAGACCGCCUGGGAAUACUGGGUGCUGUAGGCU